rnacentral:tRNA from 1 species
GCCUGGCUGGCUCAACUGUAGAGUAUGUGACUCUGGAUCUUGGGGUUGUGAGUUCAAGUCCCACACCGGGUA